CUAUGCGCCUUGCCAGCCCGCUCAGAAACUUAAAGGAAUUGACGGGGACCCGCACAAGCGGUGGAGCAUGUGGUUUAAUUCGAAGCAACGCGAAGAACCUUACCAAGUCUUGACAUCGGAAUGACCGUCCCGUAACUGGGGCUUCCCUUCGGGGCAUUCCAGACAGGUGGUGCAUGGUUGUCGUCAGCUCGUGUCGUGAGAUGUUGGGUUAAGUCCCGCAACGAGCGCAACCCUUAUCCUUAGUAGCCAGCAGUUCGGCUGGGCACCCUGGGGAGACUGCCAGGGAUAACCUGGAGGAAGGUGGGGAUGACGUCAAAUCAUCAUGCCCCUUAUGAUUUGGGCUACACACGUGCUACAAUGGCGUAAACAAAGGGAAGCAAGGGAGUGAUCCGGAGCAAAUCUCAAAAAUAACGUCUCAGUUCGGAUUGUAGUCUGCAACUCGACUACAUGAAGCUGGAAUCGCUAGUAAUCGCGGAUCAGAAUGCCGCGGUGAAUACGUUCCCGGGUCUU
rnacentral:rRNA from 1 species